UACGGAGGGUGCAAGCGUUGUCCGGAAUCACUGGGCGUAAAGGGCGCGUAGGCGGCUCAUGAAGGCUGUGGUGAAAGUCCGGGGCUCAACCUCGGAUCGGCCGUGGCGACUCGUGGGCUGGAGCACUGUAGAGGCGGGUGGAAUUCCGGGUGUAGCGGUGGAAUGCGUAGAGAUCCGGAAGAACACCGGUGGCGAAGGCGGCUACCUGGCCUAAGACUGACGCUGAGGUGCGAAAGCGUGGGGAGCGAACGGG
rnacentral:rRNA from 1 species